UACGUCGGGUGCAAGCGUGAAUCGGACUUACUGGGCGUAAAGCGUGCGCAGGCGGUUAUAUAAGACAGAUGUGAAAUCCCCGGGCUCAACCUGGGAACUGCAUUUGUGACUGUAUAGCUAGAGUACGGCAGAGGGGGAUGGAAUUCCGCGUGUAGCAGUGAAAUGCGUAGAUAUGCGGAGGAACACCGAUGGCGAAGGCAAUCCCCUGGGCCUGUACUGACGCGCAUGCACGAAAGCGUGGGGAGAACACAGGAGGAGAUACCCGCGUAGUCC
rnacentral:rRNA from 1 species